AGUGCAGCAUGCAACGUGAGGAAGGUAAACUUCCACCAGGAGCAAGGUUGCAUUGUUGGGAAGUGUAGUCCCGGAAUGAAGGUGGACAGUGAGCUACCGACUGCCGGAGAGGCCCAGUUUCACCAAAUACAAACUUGCAUCAGGGAAACCAAAUGGAAACAGCUUUGGAAAGGAUUGACUUUGCACCUGCAGUGGGGCAGAGGAGCAAGACAGUUGUCCUGGUGUCCAGAGUAUGCCUGAUCAUUUCAGCACUCGAAGUCAGAUGUUUUCCCUACGGGCUCAGAUAAUUCAAAUACGACUUGGAAGAAUGGGAGCAUCAAAGAGUUUCACACAUCUCAAGUUAUAUAUUUGCAUACCUAUACAAACAUGGAAUUAAUAAGACAAAAGACAGAGGUAUUAUGCGGACAAAUUUCAAGGCUGUUUCAGCCAGAUGUGAGAGUAAGGAUGUGGAGCAAUACAAGGUAAUGAAGAUAAAUUUUAAAAUAUUAAAAUGCCAAUAAACAUAAAAUUACAGUGUGGUAGAGAUCCAUUUUGCUUUGUUUAGUAAGGAUAACCAGCAUUACUAAACCUAAAAAUAUAACCUUUGCAGAUCUCAUUGAAAAUGUUAUUCUGCUAUUAGCAUUAAAAUUAUUUUAAAGGGGCUGUUAGAGUUUUCAUAUUCUCUCAAAAGGAACUUGCAUUAAGUUACAAUAUCUUUAUUAAUUAGCCUUUAACACUAAAUGUUCUCUCCCUCCACCCUAUUGCAUUGCAGAAUUGUUUUCUUCUAGGUACAGGGAACAAACCUUCUAACCUGCUAAUACUGGAUAUUACUGAAAAUUCUUUUAACUCUAAGUAUUGGAAAACCCGGUUCAAAACAGCUUAAAUAAUAAGUUACAGAAGACUUAUGUCAAUCUGGCUGCUGAUUGAAACACUAUCUCCUCAACCAUGUUCUUUCUACUUCUGAACUACCUUGAAGACCUGCACCCAGGUGAGAGAGAGAGAGAGAGAUUUUUCACUGCUAAUCACUAGGGGAAACACAAAAAGCAAGACAAAAAAUAUUGGACUAGGGAAGUGGUAAUGUUUCCAAAACAAGUUCCUCUUCUAUAAUUUCUGACUGUCCUAUUUUUUUUUGUUUUUGUGUUAUAAUUCAA